rfam:Microgenomates (Woesebacteria) bacterium GW2011_GWB1_43_14 TV74_C0013, whole genome shotgun sequence.
AGGCCUGUAGUGAAAUGGCAUCACAAGCGUCUCCAAAACGCUUAUUCCAGGUUCGAAUCCUGGCAGGCCUG